rnacentral:tRNA from 1 species
GGGCCGAUAGCUCAGUUGGUAGAGCGAUGCGUUCGCAAUGCAUAGGUCAGGGGUUCGACUCCCCUUCGGUCCACCA